UCUUCGGAGACAUCCGAUAAAAUUGGAACGAUACAGAGAAGAUUAGCAUGGCCCCUGCGCAAGGAUGACACGCAUAAAUCGAGAAAUGGUUUCUCCUUCAUUCUGUCAUUUGCAAUUUCAUGUUCUCUUUAAGGAUCGCGGUUUAGGUUUUUUCCUUUUUGUUCCAUUUGCAGUCUCAUGAUUAGCAGAUCUGUUAAUACUAAAUUAUGAUUUUGGUUGUUGCGAGCGUAACUCGCUUCAAUCCUACAGUUUAAUUUCUUAAUUUUUUUCUUCAGAGCUCUAAUGGCGAAAUUGAACACAUAAGAACAGUUGUGAGCAGCACUCAACUCUUCGGAAGUAUAGGGAUGAGAUAUGUAAAUACAUAAGGAAAUCUCAAUGGCUGUUACAUUCAUUAAUGAAGCCCUGUGGAAAGGGAUAAUUUACAUUGGAAAGUCAGUGCAGGUUGCUGUAAUCCUUUGUAGCAUUUUGGUGUGAUCAGCUUUUGUGAUAUGCAUGCAAAUAGUUGGUGCUUCAGCUGAAUCAGCUAAGAACCUCUGGGCAUAGGUUGAGUAGCUGAAGCAGCUAAGAACCUCUUGGAGCUCGAGUUGAUCUGCAAUAUAAACACUCAUCGGGCAAUUUUCAUGACGGGCGAAUCAACACUGUCUCCCUGACUCCAAAAGAAUAGCCGAACGAUUACACCUGCUCUGUAAACCGACCGGAUCGACCCACUUGAACAGUCGGCUGGCAUGACCUGCCACCUCAUCCCAGUCAUCCAAUUAACAGGGGUUGUGGACCCCGAAUGACCUUUGGGCCCCAUCAAGGCAAAAUGUCUAUAGGGCCUUGUACAGUCCCUACUAAAGUAGGGUUAACCAUGUAAUUCUGUGAACCACGUCUCUUAUGUCUAUAAAUAGGAGAUCCUUAUGAGAACAAAGGGUUGCACAAUCUUAGCUAAACAAAUCGGGAAAGAUCAAUAUACUCGCUCUAAGUUUUUGUUCACUAUUGCUCGUUAGCAUACUCUUUUUCCUCCUCUCUGUUUCUCUUUCUCGUCCUACGUUUUAUUCC